rnacentral:rRNA from 1 species
ACGAACGCUGGCGGCAGGCCUAACACAUGCAAGUCGAGCGCCCUGCAAGGGGAGCGGCGGACGGGUGAGUAACGCGUGGGAAUUUUCCUUGGAGUACGGAACAACCGAGGGAAACGUUACGGCGUAAUACCGUAUGAUGCCGAGAGGCCAAAGAUUUAUUCGCUCUGGGUGAGCCCGCGUCAGAUUAGGUAGUUGGUGGGGUAAAGGACCGUACCAAGCCUGCGAUCUGUAGCUGGUCUGAGAGGACGAUCAGCCA